GUGUGAGUAUCCCAUUUUCGACUCCUCUAAUCUUAGUCGUCAUAAUUGUUUCAAAAACUUUCAACACCGGAUCUCUUGGUUCUCGCAUCGAUGAAAACGCAGCGAAUUGCGAUACGUAAUAUGACUUGCAGACGUGAAUCAUUGAAUCUUUGAACGCACAUUGCGCCCCGGGGUAUUCCCCAGGGCAUGCGUGGGUGAGCGAUAUUUACUCUCAAACCUCCGGUUUGGUCCUGCUUCGGCCUAAUAUCAACGGCGCUAGAAUAAGUUUUAGCCCCAUUCUUUUUCCUCACCCUCGUAAGACUACCCGCUGAACUUAAGCAUAUCAAUAAGCGGAGGAAAUAUGCUUGGUAUUGGGCGUCGUCCUUAGUUGGGCGCGCCUUAAAGACCUCGGCGAGGCCACUCCGGCUUUAGGCGUAGUAGAAUUUAUUCGAACGUCUGUCAAAGGAGAGGAACUCUGCCGACUGAAACCUUUAUUUUUCUAGGUUGACCUCGGAUCAGGUAGGGAUACCCGCUGAACUUAAGCAUAUCAAUAAGCGGAGGAA
rnacentral:rRNA from 1 species